AAUGGCGGUACUCUUCUGAUUCACUUGUCUACUGAUCAAGUUUACGAAGGGACCAAAUCCUUCUACAAGGAAGAUGAUGAGACCCUUCCUGUGAAUGUUUAUGGAAGAUCAAAGGUAGCAGCAGAGCAAUUUAUAUCUGCAAAUUACUCAAAUUUUGCAAUUUUGAGGAGCAGUAUUAUUUAUGGACCUCAGACUGUCUCCCCUGUCCCAAAAUCACUUCCAGUUCAGUGGAUGGAUAGUGUUCUUGCAAAGGGAGAAGCCAUGGAUUUUUUUCACGAUGAAUUCCG
rnacentral:misc_RNA from 1 species